GACGAACGCUGGCGGCGUGCUUAACACAUGCAAGUCGAACGGUAAGGCCCUUCGGGGUACACGAGUGGCGAACGGGUGAGUAACACGUGGGUGAUCUGCCCUGCACUUCGGGAUAAGCCUGGGAAACUGGGUCUAAUACCGGAUAGGACUCCGGACUGCAUGGUCUGGGGUGGAAAGCUUUUGCGGUGUGGGAUGGGCCCGCGGCCUAUCAGCUUGUUGGUGGGGUGAUGGCCUACCAAGGCGACGACGGGUAGCCGACCUGAGAGGGUGACCGGCCACACUGGGACUGAGAUACGGCCCAGACUCCUACGGGAGGCAGCAGUGGGGAAUAUUGCACAAUGGGCGCAAGCCUGAUGCAGCGACGCCGCGUGAGGGAUGACGGCCUUCGGGUUGUAAAGCUCUUUCGCCAGGGAAGAUAAUGACGGUACCUGGAGAAGAAGCCUCGGCUAACUCCGUGCCAGCCGCCGCCGUAA
rnacentral:rRNA from 1 species